rnacentral:rRNA from 1 species
CUCAUUUGACGUUAGCUGCAGAAGAAGCACCGGCUAACUCCGUGCCAGCAGCCGCGGUAAUACGGAGGGUGCGAGCGUUAAUCGGAAUUACUGGGCGUAAAGCGCAUGCAGGUGGUUUGUUAAGUCAGAUGUGAAAGCCCGGGGCUCAACCUCGGAAUUGCAUUUGAAACUGGCAAACUAGAGUACUGUAGAGGGGGUAGAAUUUCAGGUGUAGCGGUGAAAUGCGUAGAGAUCUGAAGGAAUACCGGUGGCGAAGGCGGCCCCCUGGACAGAUACUGACACUCAGAUGCGAAAGCGUGGGGAGCAAACAGGAUUAGAUACCCUGGUAG